rnacentral:rRNA from 1 species
GGUUAAGCGACUAAGCGUACACGGUGGAUGCCCUGGCAGUCAGAGGCGAUGAAGGACGUGCUAAUCUGCGAAAAGCGCCGGCGAGGUGAUAUGAACCUUUGACCCGGCGAUGUCCGAAUGGGGAAACCCAGUGCAAUCCGUUGCACUAUCGUUAACUGAAUACAUAGGUUAACGAGGCGAACCGGGGGAACUGAAACAUCUAAGUACCCCGAGGAAAAGAAAUCAACCGAGAUUCCCCCAGUAGCGGCGAGCGAACGGGGAGCAGCCCGGAGUCUGAAUCAGCUUGUGUGUUAGUGGAACGGUCUGGAAAGUCCGACGGUACAGGGUGAUAGUCCCGUACACGAAAGCACACAUGCUGUGAACUCGAAGAGUAGGGCGGGACACGUGGUAUCCUGUCUGAAUAUGGGGGGACCAUCCUCCAAGGCUAAAUACUCCUGACUGACCGAUAGUGAACCAGUACCGUGAGGGAAAGGCGAAAAGAACCCCGGCGAGGGGAGUGAAAAAGAACCUGAAACCGUGUACGUACAAGCAGUGGGAGCCUCUUUAUGGGGUGACUGCGUACCUUUUGUAUAAUGGGUCAGCGACUUAUAUUCUGUAGCAAGGUUAACCGUAUAGGGGAGCCGAAGGGAAACCGAGUCUUAACUGGGCGUUAAGUUGCAGGGUAUAGACCCGAAACCCGGUGAUCUAGCCAUGGGCAGGUUGAAGGUUGGGUAACACUAACUGGAGGACCGAACCGACUAAUGUUGAAAAAUUAGCGGAUGACCUGUGGCUGGGGGUGAAAGGCCAAUCAAACCGGGAGAUAGCUGGUUCUCCCCGAAAGCUAUUUAGGUAGCGCCUCGUGAAUUCAUCUUCGGGGGUAGAGCACUGUUUCGGCUAGGGGGCCAUCCCGGCUUACCAACCCGAUGCAAACUACGAAUACCGAAGAAUGUUAUCACGGGAGACACACGGCGGGUGCUAACGUCCGUCGUGAAGAGGGAAACAACCCAGACCGCCAGCUAAGGUCCCAAAGUCAUGGUUAAGUGGGAAACGAUGUGGGAAGGCACAGACAGCCAGGAUGUUGGCUUAGAAGCAGCCAUCAUUUAAAGAAAGCGUAAUAGCUCACUGGUCGAGUCGGCCUGCGCGGAAGAUGUAACGGGGCUAAACCAUGCACCGAAGCUGCGGCAGCGACGCUUAGGCGUUGUUGGGUAGGGGAGCGUUCUGUAAGCCGUUGAAGGUGUGCUGUGAGGCAUGCUGGAGGUAUCAGAAGUGCGAAUGCUGACAUAAGUAACGAUAAAGCGGGUGAAAAGCCCGCUCGCCGGAAGACCAAGGGUUCCUGUCCAACGUUAAUCGGGGCAGGGUGAGUCGACCCCUAAGGCGAGGCCGAAAGGCGUAGUCGAUGGGAAACAGGUUAAUAUUCCUGUACUUGGUGUUACUGCGAAGGGGGGACGGAGAAGGCUAUGUCAGCCGGGCGACGGUUGUCCCGGUUUAAGCAUGUAGGCGGAGGUUCCAGGUAAAUCCGGUACCUUGUUAACGCUGAGGUGUGAUGACGAGGCACUACGGUGCUGAAGUGAUAAAUGCCCUGCUUCCAGGAAAAGCCUCUAAGCAUCAGGUAACACGAAAUCGUACCCCAAACCGACACAGGUGGUCAGGUAGAGAAUACCAAGGCGCUUGAGAGAACUCGGGUGAAGGAACUAGGCAAAAUGGUGCCGUAACUUCGGGAGAAGGCACGCUGAUAUGUAGGUGAAGCCCCUGCGGGCGGAGCUGAAAUCAGUCGAAGAUACCAGCUGGCUGCAACUGUUUAUUAAAAACACAGCACUGUGCAAACACGAAAGUGGACGUAUACGGUGUGACGCCUGCCCGGUGCCGGAAGGUUAAUUGAUGGGGUUAGCGGCAACGCGAAGCUCUUGAUCGAAGCCCCGGUAAACGGCGGCCGUAACUAUAACGGUCCUAAGGUAGCGAAAUUCCUUGUCGGGUAAGUUCCGACCUGCACGAAUGGCGUAAUGAUGGCCAGGCUGUCUCCACCCGAGACUCAGUGAAAUUGAACUCGCUGUGAAGAUGCAGUGUACCCGCGGCAAGACGGAAAGACCCCGUGAACCUUUACUAUAGCUUGACACUGAACACUGGUCCUUGAUGUGUAGGAUAGGUGGGAGGCUUUGAAGCGUGGACGCCAGUCUGCGUGGAGCCAACCUUGAAAUACCACCCUUUAAUGGCUGGUGUUCUAACGUAGACCCGUAAUCCGGGUUGCGGACAGUGUCUGGUGGGUAGUUUGACUGGGGCGGUCUCCUCCCAAAGAGUAACGGAGGAGCACGAAGGUUGGCUAAUCCUGGUCGGACAUCAGGAGGUUAGUGCAAUGGCAUAAGCCAGCUUGACUGCGAGCGUGACGGCGCGAGCAGGUGCGAAAGCAGGUCAUAGUGAUCCGGUGGUUCUGAAUGGAAGGGCCAUCGCUCAACGGAUAAAAGGUACUCCGGGGAUAACAGGCUGAUACCGCCCAAGAGUUCAUAUCGACGGCGGUGUUUGGCACCUCGAUGUCGGCUCAUCACAUCCUGGGGCUGAAGUAGGUCCCAAGGGUAUGGCUGUUCGCCAUUUAAAGUGGUACGCGAGCUGGGUUUAGAACGUCGUGAGACAGUUCGGUCCCUAUCUGCCGUGGGCGCUGGAGAAUUGAGGGGGGCUGCUCCUAGUACGAGAGGACCGGAGUGGACGCAUCACUGGUGUUCGGGUUGUCAUGCCAAUGGCACUGCCCGGUAGCUAAAUGCGGAAGAGAUAAGUGCUGAAAGCAUCUAAGCACGAAACUUGCCCCGAGAUGAGUUCUCCCUGAGACUUUAAGUCUCCUGAAGGAACGUUGAAGACGACGACGUUGAUAGGUCGGGUGUGUAAGCGCAGCGAUGCGUUGAGCUAACCGAUACUAAUGAACCGUGAGGCUUAACCUU